CAGCGGACCGAAGCUUUCAAAGUAAUGCCUCUCUUAUACUUUGUCCUUACCAUCGAGUAUCCACCUGAAGUGGCCUUGACAUUGGAGUUUGUGCAGAGGGCAAUCGCGGGAAUCAACCCAGAAAGAAGCACAAAGGCACGACGAACGUCGAAGAAGCAGUAUUGUUUGUCGCCAAAGGUGGCUGCCCUGGCGAAUGCCCUGGAUCAGUACAAGUUCUAAUCUUGUGUUUGAGCUUUAAUAAAAAGUAAAAUUUAGAGGUUCAUA
rnacentral:lncRNA from 1 species